CGAGUGACAGGGAAAAGCUCACAGUUGGAACCUAGCUGCCUUAGGUAGUUCGGAUUGUAAACUGAAAAAGUGUUAUCCAGGCUAGCCGAGUAAAUAAGUUUCUUGGAACAGAACAUCAUGGAGGGUGAGAAUCCCGUCUUUGGCUUGAGCAUAGUCUUUUGUGUUGCACUUUAACGAGUCAGGUUGUUUGGGAAUGCAGCCUAAAGUGGGAGGUAAAUCCCUCCUAAAGCUAAAUAUUGGCGAGAGACCGAUAGCAAACAAGUACCGUGAGGGAAAGAUGAAAAGAACUUUGAAAAGAGAGUUAAACAGUAUGUGAAAUUGCUAAAAGGGAAGCGUUUGAAGACAGACUAGCUUGGUUAUAAUCAGCCUGGAUUUUUCUUGGUGUACUUGUAGCCUAUGCUUGUCAACAGCAGUUUGGUUUGGCUGAAAAAACUGAUAGUAAGGUGGCUCUCUUCGGGGAGUGUUAUAGACUGUUAGAAAAUCAGUUGGACUGGACUGAGGAAUGCAAUGCAGCUUGCCUUGGGGUGAACCAGAUUGGAUAGGAACCAUUGUUCUUUGAAGGUUUGGGUAGCUCUUCGAACUGUAUUUAGGUUGUUGGCUUAAUGUCUUAACGC
rnacentral:rRNA from 1 species